UCGGCAACGGAUAUCUCGGCUCUCGCAUCGAUGAAGAACGUAGCGAAUGCGAUACUUGGUGUGAAUUGCAGAAUCCCGUGAACCAUCGAGUCUUUGAACGCAAGUUGCGCCCUAAGCCUUCUGGCCGAGGGCACGUCUGCCUGGGUGUCACAAAUCGUCGUCCC
rnacentral:rRNA from 2 species